ACAAGGGCUCCCUUCUUCAGAGGCCCCGCCCCGGGCAAGCAGCUUCCAGAAGCUUCCAGAGAACCUUUUAGGUUGCUAAAGCCGUUAAAGCUCCAUGUCCCCAAACCAUGAAGGAGUUCAGGAUUCGGUUCCUCAGUGAGGAGAGAAGACCCUUGCAUUGCCCUCGUCUCCAUCAGCUGAGCGGACUCCGCUCCUGCUCAGCUGUCACUCGUCGCUCAGAAAACAGUCAAGGAAACGGGUGAGGUGCAGCGGGCGCCGGGCCUUUGGGGACACAGCGGAAGUGGACAGACUGGCCCUGCGUUGUCCAGCGCUGCCCGGGGCUCCGAGCCCAUGUGCUUCCAUGCCGAGAGGAGGGAUG